rnacentral:rRNA from 1 species
UACAGAGGUCUCAAGCGUUGUUCGGAUUCAUUGGGCGUAAAGGGUGCGUAGGCGGCGCGGUAAGUCGGGUGUGAAAUCUCGGAGCUUAACUCCGAAACUGCAUUCGAUACUGCCGUGCUUGAGGACUGGAGAGGAGACUGGAAUUUACGGUGUAGCGGUGAAAUGCGUAGAUAUCGUAAGGAAGACCAGUGGCGGAAGGCGGGUCUCUGGACAGUUCCUGACGUGAGGCACGAAGGUCAGGGGAGCAAACGGG